rnacentral:rRNA from 1 species
GACGAACGCUGGCGGCGUGCUUAACACAUGCAAGUCGAGCGGAAAGGCCCCUUGUGGGUACUCGAGCGGCGAACGGGUGAGUAACACGUGAGUAAUCUGCCCCUCACUUCAGGAUAGCUCCCGGAAACGGGGAUUAAUACUGGAUAUGACGCGCCUGCGCAUGUGGAUGUGUGGAAAGUUUUUUCGGUGGGGGAUGUGCUCGCGGCCUAUCAGCUUGACGGUGGGGUAAUGGCCUACCAUGGCUUCGACGGGUAGCCGGCCUGAGAGGGUGACCGGUCACACUGGGACUGAGACACGGCCCAGACUCCUACGGGAGGCAGCAGUGGGGAAUAUUGGACAAUGGGCGGAAGCCUGAUCCAGCAACGCCGCGUGAGGGAUGACGGCCUUCGGGUUGUAAACCUCUUUCAGCACAGACGAAGCGCAAGUGACGGUAUGUGCAGAAGAAGGACCGGCCAACUACGUGCCAGCCGCCGCAGUAAAAC